GGAAGCAGGCUUGCAUCUGGAAAGCCAGCUUGCGCCAGGGCUGAGAGCAGAACUCCAAGGGGAAGGGGCACAACCGUAGGUACUCUGGCUGCUGAGAAUGGUCUGGUUUCUGCAAACGGGCAGGUGGGGGAUUAAGAAGAAAACGGCAAACAGAAGGUAUGAUGGUAACACUGUGUGGUGAUGGAUGUCAUCUACACUUACUCUGAACUGUGACCCGAUUCUGUAGUCUCGGGGAUAAUGAAGUCUCGGGACAUUUUUGGCUGCACCCUCAGGAGAAUGUGGUAUGACGUACUUCGUGCCCUGGGGUGCACUGGCCGAAUCCGCGCUCUGUGUCUGUUUGUGGGUGAAUGAGCCAACUGUGUCCUUCCUGACCUCCUUCUCGGAGUUAGGAAACACUGAGAACACUCGAAACCUCACUUUCCGUAGACGUCCGUUGUUAAUCAAGGCCUGGACAACCCGCAGAUGACAUUCAGUAUUAAGAAAGAUAAAGUAUCUUUUUAAAUGUUCAAAAUGUAUUUUA